AGGUUAAGUGAAUAAGGGCGCACGGUGGAUGCCUUGGCACUAGGAGCCGAUGAAGGACGGGACUAACACCGAUAUGCUUUGGGGAGCUGUACGUAAGCUAUGAUCCAGAGAUUUCCGAAUGGGGGAACCCAGCAUCUUUAAUAGGAUGUUACGAUUGUGUGAAUACAUAGCACAUUCGAGGUAGACGCAGAGAACUGAAACAUCUAAGUACCUGCAGGAAGAGAAAGAAAAUUCGAUUCCCUGAGUAGCGGCGAGCGAAACGGGAAAAGCCCAAACCAGCAAGCUUGCUUGUUGGGGUUGUAGGACUCCAAUAUGGUAGUUCUUUCAGAUAGUCGAAUGACUUGGAAAAGUCAGUCAAAGAGGGUAAAAACCCCGUAGACGAAAUGUGGAAGACACCUAGGAGGAUCCUGAGUACGGCGGAACACGAGAAAUUCCGUCGGAAUCCGGGAGGACCAUCUCCCAAGGCUAAAUACUCCCUAGUGACCGAUAGUGAACCAGUACCGUGAGGGAAAGGUGAAAAGCACCCCGGAAGGGGAGUGAAAUAGAACCUGAAACCGUGUGCCUACAACAAGUCAAAGCCCGUUAAUGGGUGAUGGCGUGCCUUUUGUAGAAUGAACCGGCGAGUUACGAUUGCAUGCGAGGUUAAGUUGAAGAGACGGAGCCGCAGCGAAAGCGAGUCUGAAUAGGGCGUUUGAGUAUGUAGUCGUAGACCCGAAACCAUGUGAUCUACCCAUGUCCAGGUUGAAGGUGCGGUAAAACGCACUGGAGGACCGAACCCACGUACGUUGAAAAGUGCGGGGAUGAGGUGUGGGUAGCGGAGAAAUUCCAAACGAACUUGGAGAUAGCUGGUUCUCUCCGAAAUAGCUUUAGGGCUAGCCUCGGAAUUGAGAAUGAUGGAGGUAGAGCACUGUUUGGACUAGGGGCCCAUCUCGGGUUACCGAAUUCAGAUAAACUCCGAAUGCCAUUCAUUCAUAUCCGGGAGUCAGACUGUGAGUGAUAAGAUCCAUAGUCGAAAGGGAAACAGCCCAGACCACCAGCUAAGGUCCCAAAAUAUAUGUUAAGUGGAAAAGGAUGUGGGGUUGCACAGACAACUAGGAUGUUGGCUUAGAAGCAGCCAUCAUUUAAAGAGUGCGUAAUAGCUCACUAGUCGAGUGACCCUGCGCCGAAAAUGUACCGGGGCUAAACAUAUUACCGAAGCUGUGGAGUACACCUUUAGGUGUAUUGGUAGGAGAGCGUUCUAAGGGCGUUGAAGGCAGAUCGUGAGGACUGCUGGAGCGCUUAGAAGUGAGAAUGCCGGUAUGAGUAGCGAAAGACAGGUGAGAAUCCUGUCCACCGAAUGACUAAGGUUUCCUGGGGAAGGCUCGUCCGCCCAGGGUUAGUCGGGACCUAAGCCGAGGCCGACAGGCGUAGGCGAUGGAUAACAGGUUGAUAUUCCUGUACCCGUUGUUUUUGUUUGAGCAAUGGAGGGACGCAGGAGGCUAAGGAAUGCAGACGAUCGGAAAUGUCUGUCCAAGCAGUAAGUCUGAAGAGGAGUCAAAUGCUUCUUUUCUUAAGGACAAGCUGUGAUGGGGAGGGAAAUAAUAGUACCGAAGUUCCUGAUGUCACACUGCCGAGAAAAGCUUCUAGUGAGAAAACAGCGGCCCGUACCGCAAACCGACACAGGUAGUCGAGGAGAGAAUCCUAAGGUGAGCGAGAGAACUCUCGUUAAGGAACUCGGCAAAAUGACCCCGUAACUUCGGGAGAAGGGGUGCUGAUCAUACGAUCAGCCGCAGUGAAUAGGCCCAAGCGACUGUUUAUCAAAAACACAGGUCUCUGCAAAAUCGUAAGAUGAAGUAUAGGGGCUGACGCCUGCCCGGUGCUGGAAGGUUAAGAGGAGUGCUUAGCGCAAGCGAAGGUACGAAUUGAAGCCCCAGUAAACGGCGGCCGUAACUAUAACGGUCCUAAGGUAGCGAAAUUCCUUGUCGGGUAAGUUCCGACCCGCACGAAAGGCGUAACGAUUUGGGCACUGUCUCAACGAGAGACUCGGUGAAAUUUUAGUACCUGUGAAGAUGCAGGUUACCCGCGACAGGACGGAAAGACCCCAUGGAGCUUUACUGUAGUUUGAUAUUGAGUGUCUGUACCGCAUGUACAGGAUAGGUAGGAGCCGUAGAAAUCGGAACGCUAGUUUCGAUGGAGGCGCUGGUGGGAUACUACCCCUGCGUUAUGGCCACUCUAACCCGCACCACUAAUCGUGGUGGGAGACAGUGUCAGAUGGGCAGUUUGACUGGGGCGGUCGCCUCCUAAAAGGUAACGGAGGCGCCCAAAGGUUCCCUCAGAAUGGUUGGAAAUCAUUCGAAGAGUGUAAAGGCAGAAGGGAGCUUGACUGCGAGACCAACAAGUCGAGCAGGGACGAAAGUCGGGCUUAGUGAUCCGGUGGUUCCGCAUGGAAGGGCCAUCGCUCAACGGAUAAAAGCUACCCUGGGGAUAACAGGCUUAUCUCCCCCAAGAGUCCACAUCGACGGGGAGGUUUGGCACCUCGAUGUCGGCUCGUCGCAUCCUGGGGCUGUAGUCGGUCCCAAGGGUUGGGCUGUUCGCCCAUUAAAGCGGCACGCGAGCUGGGUUCAGAACGUCGUGAGACAGUUCGGUCCCUAUCCGUCGCGGGCGUUGGAAAUUUGAGAGGAGCUGUCCUUAGUACGAGAGGACCGGGAUGGACUUACCGCUGGUGUACCAGUUGUUCUGCCAAGGGCAUUGCUGGGUAGCUAUGUAGGGAAGGGAUAAACGCUGAAAGCAUCUAAGUGUGAAGCCCACCUCAAGAUGAGAUUUCCCAUUUCUUUAAGAAAGUAAGAUCCCUGAGAGAUGAUCAGGUAGAUAGGUCAGGAGUGGAAGUACAGUGAUGUAUGGAGCGGACUGAUACUAAUCGAUCGAGGACUUAACCAAU
rnacentral:rRNA from 1 species